GGGUUGUGAGGUUAAGCGACUAAGCGUACACGGUGGAUGCCCUGGCAGUCAGAGGCGAUGAAGGGCGUACUAAUCUGCGAUAAGCGCCGGUAAGGUGAUAUGAACCGUUAUAACCGGCGAUACCCGAAUGGGGAAACCCAGUGUGAUUCGUCACACUAUCAUUAACUGAAUCCAUAGGUUAAUGAGGCGAACCGGGGGAACUGAAACAUCUAAGUACCCCGAGGAAAAGAAAUCAACCGAGAUUCCCCCAGUAGCGGCGAGCGAACGGGGAGGAGCCCAGAGCCUGAAUCAGCAUGUGUGUUAGUGGAAGCGUCUGGAAAGGCGCGCGAUACAGGGUGACAGCCCCGUACACAAAAGCGCAUGUGCUGUGAGCUCGAUGAGUAGGGCGGGACACGUGGUAUCCUGUCUGAAUAUGGGGGACCAUCCUCCAAGGCUAAAUACUCCUGACUGACCGAUAGUGAACCAGUACCGUGAGGGAAAGGCGAAAAGAACCCCGGCGAGGGGAGUGAAAAAGAACCUGAAACCGUGUACGUACAAGCAGUGGGAGCACAGGUUUACCUGUGUGACUGCGUACCUUUUGUAUAAUGGGUCAGCGACUUAUAUUCUGUAGCAAGGUUAACCGAAUAGGGGAGCCGGAGGGAAACCGAGUCUUAAUUGGGCGUUAAGUUGCAGGGUAUAGACCCGAAACCCGGUGAUCUAGCCAUGGGCAGGUUGAAGGUUGGGUAACACUAACUGGAGGACCGAACCGACUAAUGUUGAAAAAUUAGCGGAUGACCUGUGGCUGGGGGUGAAAGGCCAAUCAAACCGGGAGAUAGCUGGUUCUCCCCGAAAGCUAUUUAGGUAGCGCCUCGUGAAUUCAUCUCCGGGGGUAGAGCACUGUUUCGGCUAGGGGGCCAUCCCGGCUUACCAACCCGAUGCAAACUGCGAAUACCGGAGAAUGUUAUCACGGGAGACACACGGCGGGUGCUAACGUCCGUCGUGAAGAGGGAAACAACCCAGACCGCCAGCUAAGGUCCCAAAGUCAUGGUUAAGUGGGAAACGAUGUGGGAAGGCCCAGACAGCCAGGAUGUUGGCUUAGAAGCAGCCAUCAUUUAAAGAAAGCGUAAUAGCUCACUGGUCGAGUCGGCCUGCGCGGAAGAUGUAACGGGGCUAAACCAUGCACCGAAGCUGCGGCAGCGACACUGUGUGUUGUUGGGUAGGGGAGCGUUCUGUAAGCCUGUGAAGGUGUGUCGUGAGGCAUGCUGGAGGUAUCAGAAGUGCGAAUGCUGACAUAAGUAACGAUAAAGCGGGUGAAAAGCCCGCUCGCCGGAAGACCAAGGGUUCCUGUCCAACGUUAAUCGGGGCAGGGUGAGUCGACCCCUAAGGCGAGGCCGAAAGGCGUAGUCGAUGGGAAACGGGUUAAUAUUCCCGUACUUGGUGUUACUGCGAAGGGGGACGGAGAAGGCUAUGUUGGCCGGGCGACGGUUGUCCCGGUUUAAGCGUGUAGGUGUGUGUUCCAGGUAAAUCCGGUUCACUUUAACACUGAGGCGUGACGACGAGGCACUACGGUGCUGAAGCAACAAAUGCCCUGCUUCCAGGAAAAGCCUCUAAGCAUCAGGUAACAUCAAAUCGUACCCCAAACCGACACAGGUGGUCAGGUAGAGAAUACCAAGGCGCUUGAGAGAACUCGGGUGAAGGAACUAGGCAAAAUGGUGCCGUAACUUCGGGAGAAGGCACGCUGACACGUAGGUGAAGUGAUUUACUCAUGGAGCUGAAGUCAGUCGAAGAUACCAGCUGGCUGCAACUGUUUAUUAAAAACACAGCACUGUGCAAACACGAAAGUGGACGUAUACGGUGUGACGCCUGCCCGGUGCCGGAAGGUUAAUUGAUGGGGUCAGCGCAAGCGAAGCUCCUGAUCGAAGCCCCGGUAAACGGCGGCCGUAACUAUAACGGUCCUAAGGUAGCGAAAUUCCUUGUCGGGUAAGUUCCGACCUGCACGAAUGGCGUAAUGAUGGCCAGGCUGUCUCCACCCGAGACUCAGUGAAAUUGAACUCGCUGUGAAGAUGCAGUGUACCCGCGGCAAGACGGAAAGACCCCGUGAACCUUUACUAUAGCUUGACACUGAACAUUGAGCCUUGAUGUGUAGGAUAGGUGGGAGGCUUUGAAGUGUGGACGCCAGUCUGCAUGGAGCCGACCUUGAAAUACCACCCUUUAAUGUUUGAUGUUCUAACGUGGACCCGUUACCCGGGUUGCGGACAGUGUCUGGUGGGUAGUUUGACUGGGGCGGUCUCCUCCUAAAGAGUAACGGAGGAGCACGAAGGUUGGCUAAUCCUGGUCGGACAUCAGGAGGUUAGUGCAAUGGCAUAAGCCAGCUUGACUGCGAGCGUGACGGCGCGAGCAGGUGCGAAAGCAGGUCAUAGUGAUCCGGUGGUUCUGAAUGGAAGGGCCAUCGCUCAACGGAUAAAAGGUACUCCGGGGAUAACAGGCUGAUACCGCCCAAGAGUUCAUAUCGACGGCGGUGUUUGGCACCUCGAUGUCGGCUCAUCACAUCCUGGGGCUGAAGUAGGUCCCAAGGGUAUGGCUGUUCGCCAUUUAAAGUGGUACGCGAGCUGGGUUUAGAACGUCGUGAGACAGUUCGGUCCCUAUCUGCCGUGGGCGCUGGAGAACUGAGGGGGGCUGCUCCUAGUACGAGAGGACCGGAGUGGACGCAUCACUGGUGUUCGGGUUGUCAUGCCAAUGGCACUGCCCGGUAGCUAAAUGCGGAAGAGAUAAGUGCUGAAAGCAUCUAAGCACGAAACUUGCCCCGAGAUGAGUUCUCCCUGAGACUUAAAGUCUCCUGAAGGAACGUUGAAGACGACGACGUUGAUAGGCCGGGUGUGUAAGCGCAGCGAUGCGUUGAGCUAACCGGUACUAAUGAACCGUGAGGCUUAACCUUACAACGCCGAAG
rnacentral:rRNA from 1 species